GCAUCACACAACAGUGACGACGUUUUCGACUUGCUUCCAUGCAACCCGCGUACACACCUGCUGCCUGAUUGGCACACGGCACACAUCUGCACCUGGUUGCCAAUCAGUCUCCUGUUAUAGUUAAUUUUUAUGCACUGCUCUGCCCUGCCUAUUCUGCUGCACGUUUGCCUAAUACAAAAGAAGUUCCGUGGUUUGUGCCCUUAUUUGCACAUCCAUCCAUCUUCUUCCGCUUAUCCGAGGUCGGGUCACGGGGGCAGCAGCCUAAGCAGGGAAGCUCCUCCCAGGGGAUCCCGAGGCGUUCCCAGGCCAGCCGGUAGACAGUCUUCCCCGUGGCCUCCUACCGGUCGGACGUGCCCUAAACACCUCGUUCGGGUGGCAUCCUGACCAGAUGACCGAACUUGUCUCAUCACAUCCAUCCAUCCAUUUUAUUCCGCUUAUCCGAGGUCGGGUCGCGGGGGCAGCAGCCUAAGCAGAGAAGCCCAGACUUCCCUCUCCCCAGCCACUUCGUAAAGCUCCGCCCUGGGGAUCCCGAGGCGUUCCCAGGUCAGCCGGGAGACAUAUAUUUUAAUUAAAUGUUUUGUACCAAACAUGUGCAAUAAAAACUAAAGCUAUAGAAAACAAUGGUUUUCAGUAUUUAGCACUUUUGUUUAUGCUAUUGUUUUAGAUUUUUUUGUAUUGAAUAAAAUUUUAUAGUAA